rnacentral:SRP_RNA from 1 species
CAGGUUAUUCAAAGUGGGUGGAAGUGCAGAAAACCAGCAGGAAAAAGCCAAUGAGAAAAGUGGUCAGAAUCGCGCUUGAGUGGA